AAUCAACGCUGGCGGCGUGCCUCAGACAUGCAAGUCGAACGAUUAAAGCUCCCUUCGGGGAGUGCAUAAAGUGGCGCACGGGUGAGUAACACGUAAGUAAUCUACCCUCGAGUGGGGAAUAACGUCCGGAAACGGACGCUAAUACCGCAUAAUGCACCGGCACCGCAAGGUGACAGUUGUUAAAGAUUUAUCGAUUGAGGAGGAGCUUGCGGCAGAUUAGCUAGUUGGUAAGGUUAUGGCUUACCAAGGCCGCGAUCUGUAACCGGUCUAAGAGGACGGUCGGUCACACUGACACUGAAUAACGGGUCAGACUCCUACGGGAGGCAGCAGUCGGGAAUUUUGGGCAAUGGGCGAAAGCCUGACCCAGCAACGCCGCGUGAAGGAUGAAGUAUUUCGGUAUGUAAACUUCGAAAGAAUGGGAAGAAUAAAUGACGGUACCAUUUAUAAGCUCCGGCUAACUACGUGCCAGCCGCCGCUGUAAUAC
rnacentral:rRNA from 1 species